AAGAAGGAGAAGAAGAAGAAGAAAGAGAGACAUAGAGAGAGAGAUGCGACGCCAUAGAACAUUACUUGGACAUAAGGUGCAUUCCAUGUAACUCACUUCCAGACAAUUCUAUUUUUGUCGAAGAGUCCAUCUCCGAGUAUGAAAAAAAAAAAUACUCCUGCCACACACGAACUUGGGCUUUUGGAAUGUUGGAUGUUAUGGGAAGAACAUCCAGUGUCAUCAAUAUAAUAGGGA
rnacentral:misc_RNA from 1 species